rnacentral:tRNA from 1 species
GCCUGGGUGGCUCACUUGGUUGAGCAUCUGACUUCGGCUCAGGUCAUGAUCUCACAGUUUGUGGGUUCAAGCCCCGCGUCAGGCU